AUUGAACGCUGGCGGCAUGCUUUACACAUGCAAGUCGAACGGCAGCGCGGGCUUCGGCCUGGCGGCGAGUGGCGAACGGGUGAGUAAUACAUCGGAACGUGCCCAGUAGUGGGGGAUAGCUCGGCGAAAGCCGGAUUAAUACCGCAUACGACCUGAGGGUGAAAGCGGGGGAUCUUCGGACCUCGCGCUAUUGGAGCGGCCGAUGGCAGAUUUGCUAGUUGGUGGGGUAAAGGCCUACCAAGGCGACGAUCUGUAGCUGGUCUGAGAGGACGACCAGCCACACUGGAACUGAGACACGGCCCAGACUCCUACGGGAGGCAGCAGUGGGGAAUUUUGGACAAUGGGCGAAAGCCUGAUCCAGCAAUGCCGCGUGUGUGAUGAAGGCCUUCGGGUUGUAAAGCACUUUUGGCGGGAACGAAAAGGACUGUGCCAAUACCACGGUUCGAUGACGGUACCCGAAGAAUAAGCACCGGCUAACUACGUG
rnacentral:rRNA from 1 species